rnacentral:rRNA from 1 species
CCUACGGGUGGCAGCAGUGGGGAAUAUUGCACAAUGGGGGAAACCCUGAUGCAGCGACGCCGCGUGAGCGAUGAAGUAUUUCGGUAUGUAAAGCUCUAUCAGCAGGGAAGAAAAUGACGGUACCUGACUAAGAAGCCCCGGCUAACUACGUGCCGGCAGCCGCGGUAAUACGUAGGGGGCCAGCGUUAUCCGGAUUUACUGGGUGUAAAGGGGGCGUAGACGGUCUUGCAAGCCAGAUGUGAAAGCCCGGGGCUCAACCCCGGGACUGCAGUUGGAACUGGAAGGCUGGAGUGGAGUAGAGGCAGGCGGAAUUCCUAGUGUAGCGGUGAAAUGCGUAGAUAUCAGGAGGAACACCAGUGGCGAAGGCGGCCUGCUGGACGAUGACUGACGCUGAGGCUCGAAAGCGUGGGGAGCAAACAGGAUUAGAUACCCGGGUAGUC